CACGUAGGGCGCAAGCGUUGUCCGGAAUUAUUGGGCGUAAAGAGCUCGUAGGCGGUGUGUCACGUCGGCCGUGAAAAACCUGCAGCUUAACUGUGGGCGUGCGGUCGAUACGGGCAUCACUGGAGUUCGGCAGGGGAGACUGGAAUUCCGGGUGUAGUGGUGGAAUGCGUAGAGAUCCGGAGGAACACCGGUGGCGAAGGCGGCAUCCUGGACCAACACUGACACUGAUGAGCGAAAGCCAGGGAGCAAAGCGGG
rnacentral:rRNA from 1 species